AAGGAGAGGAUGUAGCAGGGCCUGCAGCUAAGCUCCCCCUUCAGGACCCUGAUUCUGCACCAUUACCAUCUGGCUGACAGAUCUCCUAAAGGAGUGAAGAGCACAUCAAAAGAAGCUCCUUCUAAACUCACCAAGCAGUAGGCUCAUUUUUUGACUGUCCAGACACCUUGCAGAGCACCAAGACCUCAUUCCUAUUAGUCCUAUGUCGCCUUUCUCUCCCUGUUGUACCAAGUCCUCUCAAGGCAUGCAAGGACAUGAAACUGAAAACAAGUCAACACCCCCGGACACCUUGCU